GACGAACGCUGGCGGCGUGCUUAACACAUGCAAGUCGAACGGAAAGGCCCUGCUUUUGUGGGGUGCUCGAGUGGCGAACGGGUGAGUAACACGUGAGUAACCUGCCCUUGGCUUUGGGAUAACUUCAGGAAACUGGGGCUAAUACCGGAUAGGAGCUCCUGCUGCAUGGUGGGGGUUGGAAAGUUUCGGCGGUUGGGGAUGGACUCGCGGCUUAUCAGCUUGUUGGUGGGGUAGUGGCUUACCAAGGCUUUGACGGGUAGCCGGCCUGAGAGGGUGACCGGCCACAUUGGGACUGAGAUACGGCCCAGACUCCUACGGGAGGCAGCAGUGGGGAAUAUUGCACAAUGGGCGGAAGCCUGAUGCAGCAACGCCGCGUGCGGGAUGACGGCCUUCGGGUUGUAAACCGCUUUCGCCUGUGACGAAGCGUGGGUGACGGUAAUGGGUAAAGAAGCACCGGCUAACUACGUG
rnacentral:rRNA from 1 species